rnacentral:rRNA from 1 species
AGUGAACGCUGGCGGUAGGCCUAACACAUGCAAGUCGAACGGCAGCACAGUAAGAGCUUGCUCUUACGGGUGGCGAGUGGCGGACGGGUGAGGAAUACAUCGGAAUCUACUUUUUCGUGGGGGAUAACGUAGGGAAACUUACGCUAAUACCGCAUACGACCUACGGGUGAAAGCAGGGGAUCUUCGGACCUUGCGCGAUUGAAUGAGCCGAUGUCGGAUUAGCUAGUUGGCGGGGUAAAGGCCCACCAAGGCGACGAUCCGUAGCUGGUCUGAGAGGAUGAUCAGCCACACUGGAACUGAGACCCGGUCCAGACUCCUAAGGGAGGCAGCAGUGGGGAAUAUUGGACAAUGGGCGCAAGCCUGAUCCAGCCAUACUGCGUGGGUGAAGGAGGCCUUCGGGUUGUAAAGCCCUUUUGUUGGGAAAGAAAAGCAGCAGGUUAAUACCCCGCUGUUCUGACGGUACCCAAAGAAUAAGCACCGGCUAACUUCGUG